rnacentral:tRNA from 2 species
GCCCAGGUAGCUCAGUUGGUAGAGCAGUGGACUGAAAAUCCUCGUGUCGGUGGUUCGAAUCCGCCCCUGGGCACCA